rnacentral:rRNA from 1 species
AGAGUUUGAUCCUGGCUCAGGACGAACGCUGGCGGCGUGCCUAACACAUGCAAGUCGAGCGGGGACUUGUUGAGGAAGUCUUCGGAUGGAAUCGAUAAGUUCUAGCGGCGGACGGGUGAGUAACGCGUGAGCAACCUGCCCUCCACAGGGGGGAUAACGCACCGAAAGGUGCACUAAUACCGCAUAAGACCACGUUUCUGACAUGGGGAUGAGGUCAAAGGAGCAAUCCGGUGGAAGAUGGGCUCGCGUCUGAUUAGCUAGUUGGUGAGGUAACGGCCCACCAAGGCGACGAUCAGUAGCCGACCUGAGAGGGUGAUCGGCCACAUUGGAACUGAGAGACGGUCCAAACUCCUACGGGAGGCAGCAGUGGGGAAUAUUGGGCAAUGGGCGAAAGCCUGACCCAGCAACGCCGCGUGAAGGAAGAAGGUUUUCGGAUCGUAAACUUCUAUCCUUGGUGAAGAUAAUGACGGUAGCCAAGAAGGAAGCCCCGGCUAACUACGUGCCAGCAGCCGCGGUAAUACGUAGGGGGCAAGCGUUGUCCGGAAUGAUUGGGCGUAAAGGGCGCGUAGGCGGCCAACUAAGUCUGGAGUGAAAGUCCUGCUUUUAAGGUGGGAAUUGCUUUGGAAACUGGAUGGCUUGAGUGCAGGAGAGGUAAGCGGAAUUCCCGGUGUAGCGGUGAAAUGCGUAGAGAUCGGGAGGAACACCAGUGGCGAAGGCGGCUUACUGGACUGUAACUGACGCUGAGGCGCGAAAGUGUGGGGAGCAAACAGGAUUAGAUACCCUGGUAGUCCACACUGUAAACGAUGAAUGCUAGGUGUAGGGGGUAUCGACCCCUUCUGUGCCGGAGUAAACACAAUAAGCAUUCCGCCUGGGGAGUACGGCCGCAAGGUUGAAACUCAAAGGAAUUGACGGGGGCCCGCACAAGCGGAGGAGCAUGUGGUUUAAUUCGAUGAUACGCGAGGAACCUUACCCGGGCUUGAACGUAAGACGAAUAUGCAGGAGACUGCAUAGCCUACGGGCGUCUUGCGAGGUGCUGCAUGGUUGUCGUCAGCUCGUGCCGUGAGGUGUUAGGUUAAGUCCCGCAACGAGCGCAACCCUUAUUGUUAGUUGAUACAUUUAGUUGAUCACUCUAGCGAGACUGCCGUUGACAAAACGGAGGAAGGUGGGGACGACGUCAAAUCAUCAUGCCCCUUAUGACCAGGGCUACACACGUACUACAAUGGCAGUCAUACAGAGGGAAGCAAAGCUGUGAAGCAGAGCAAAUCCCUAAAAGCUGUCCCAGUUCAGAUUGCAGGCUGCAACUCGCCUGCAUGAAGUCGGAAUUGCUAGUAAUCGCGGAUCAGCAUGCCGCGGUGAAUACGUUCCCGGGCCUUGUACACACCGCCCGUCA